rnacentral:rRNA from 1 species
AAUAGAUACCCAGGUAGUCCACGCCGUAAACGAUGAGUGCUAAGUGUUAGAGGGUUUCCGCCCUUUAGUGCUGCAGCUAACGCAUUAAGCACUCCGCCUGGGGAGUACGGCCGCAAGGCUGAAACUCAAAGGAAUUGACGGGGGCCCGCACAAGCGGUGGAGCAUGUGGUUUAAUUCGAAGCAACGCGAAGAACCUUACCAGGUCUUGACAUCCUCUGCCAACCCUAGAGAUAGGGCGUUCCCCUUCGGGGGACAGAGUGACAGGUGGUGCAUGGUUGUCGUCAGCUCGUGUCGUGAGAUGUUGGGUUAAGUCCCGCAACGAGCGCAACCCUUGAUCUUAGUUGCCAGCAUUCAGUUGGGCACUCUAAGGUGACUGCCGGUGACAAACCGGAGGAAGGUGGGGAUGACGUCAAAUCAUCAUGCCCCUUAUGACCUGGGCUACACACGUGCUACAAUGGAUGGUACAAAGAGCUGCGAACCCGCGAGGGUAAGCGAAUCUCAUAAAGCCAUUCUCAGUUCGGAUUGU